rnacentral:rRNA from 1 species
AUCUAUAUACAUGCCUACAAUGUUAAUGCAUUGUAUCCCAUUAGAACUUUGUAUUUAAGUGUGCUUGGGAUAGAGUAGUACUCGAAUGGGUGACCUCUCAAGAAGUCCUAUUGUUUUACAUU